UAUUAUUUUACUACUCAUAAAUGGAUGAAAAAAUAGAAUUGUUUAUGGAACAUGCAUAAACUUACAAAUACAAGAGCAGCAAGAAAACGAAUUUAAAGGAAAAAUAGUUAAUGUAACAUUCAUCCUAAUCUUGGAUGUAAUAUAGCAGUAUUUUUUUGUUGUUAUCAUCCUUAACAGAAGAUUAAACGCAACACCUUGACAUAUGAGAAUAAUCGUUAAUGUUGCAGAAAAAAAUAUAUACAUUUUUGUAGGAACUUUUGAUCUAAUUUCUGAAAGAGUUAUCAUUAUUUUUUCAUUCUUUUUCUCUUUUUUUUCUUUUGUUUUUAUAUCUUUGCAAUUUGUUAGAAGUAAAGUAAUGGUCAUAAUAAAUUGUAGAUACGUCUUUGUCGAACGCUUGACAUUGUUCAUUAAUUUAAAAUCAUAAUUACAACAUUAUUUUACGCGCGCGCGCAACAUGUAGAAUUAUUAUUUUACAAUUACGUGAUUAUCACAAUUUUAUUGAAAAUUCGCGUUAUUUAGAGUCAGUAAAACAGUUUAUAGUCAAUAAGUAUCAAACUUCAGUAACAUCAGAGCCAGACUAUAUAUAGUCAUGGAAAUAGGAAACAACGUGUCUCGCAUACUCAUCCCUGCAGUCAAUCAAUAAGUAUCUGCGAGCAUAUAGAAGAUACAUGAGUACAUAUUUAACUGCUCCUAGGUGUACCCAACAUGUCGAUGGAUGAAAGAUCCGAAUCUCAGUCGUAUAGACGGGCAACAGUGACUGUUGACGCACAUGUACGUUUCUCUAUUGUUCAUGAUACUUUCUCUUAAGGGUCAUAUAUCACCAUCGAAAAUAUUUAUCCUUGGGAACCUAUUGGAUAUUAACUAACAAAACGCAUAGAUAAAAAACACAUUGUCUGGGCUUAGGUAUUCUUAGUAAAGUAUCUGGGUUUUGAUAAUAUGUCAUUUCGGCCAAUAAGUAAACAGUGAAAGUAGACGCGUAGGCGCGAUAAGCCAAGGGUUAUCUGGUUUCUAGCUUUGAAAUAUUCAUUAGCAUCCUCUAACCACACCAUCAUUAGAACAAAGGAGACUUACAUGGAAUGUUUAAUUCCAAUGAACUAUAACCGAUCAGUAGGCAUUUAUUCUUUCCCUUUCCAUACUUCAACUCCGCCCUUUUUAUUCCCUUUCCCAAUUUCAUUACAAUCUGCGUGGAUAGUUCUAGACACUAAAAAAGCAGUUAAGUUAUAUUUUUCAGACUUACAACAUCUAAGCUCUCAAAUCUCCUUCAGAUACAGCCAGUACAACUAAUCACCUCUACCACUAAACACAUCAUUACACGAAACACAUAAACAAUUGUAAGUUAUUUCAUCAAAUAUACGGUGAUAAUUUCAACGCGCGCAACAUUUAAUAUCGCACAUUUACUUCUCGAAUCUCACGGAAUCCUUUAAAAGAGGAUUUUCAUUAAUUUACGAGAACGCGGCGAGCGGUAUUUUGCUGACGACCUACAACGGUAUCCUAGUCUAGUGUCGUGAUCCUUAUUCAUCGCGACCAGUGGAUCUAUAGCUCGGACAACAAGGACGAGACGGGGGAUAUUUCUCCGUGCAAAUCGACUGUCAUCGCUGGUCCGUUGCGAGACGUGUAUCUAAAAUCGCUUUCGUAGUUGCGCCCACACGACGCAACAGUGACGGUGAUGUUAAAUCUUUAAAUCUGUCUUAUUAUUAAAUCUGUUCGAACAAUUUAGCGGUUUUAUGAGAGUAACAAGAAUAUAACGUUCUUGCGGGGAUACUAUUCGAAUUGAAACGGAGAAUUGUCGUAAUAUCGAAUAAACGUGCGAUUCUGGAUUCA